AAUCUACUCCCUCCGUUCCGAAUUACUUGUCGCAGGUAUGGAUAUAUCUAGAUGUAUUUUAGUUCUGGAUACAUCCAUUUCUGCGACGAGUAAUUUGGAAUGGAGGGAGUACUUU
rnacentral:pre_miRNA from 1 species